rnacentral:lncRNA from 1 species
UCUAUUUUUAAAAGUACCCCGAAAUUGAAACCACCAAAUUCCCAAAUCCACUCUCUCAGCUUCUCAAUCUCCAACUCUUCGAUGGGCACUCCCAAAUCUCAUCCUUGAAUAUGGAGUCUAUAUCCUUAAAUUGAAGGUCCCUAUAUAUUUUUAUGCAAAAUACAUCUACUCGUCCCUGAAGGUCUAUAUCCUUAAUGGUCUCGUAGCUUGCGCUUCCGGCCUCUCGUCUACUAAUGCGGUCCCUAUAUAUUUUUAUGCAAAAAAAAAUUAUUUUGCCUCUGUUUAAACACUUAUUUUCUGAAUAUUUGAGCAUAUAUUUAAUUGUGUGGGUAAUGUGUUUGACUUAAUGACUUUGAGCAGAGUUGUUAUUACUCAUUCCUUCCAAAUGCCAAUGUUGUCUUUAAUUGUAUUUUUUGAUUUAGUGUUUUUCGAUUUAGGGAUUCUAGUAUUUUUAUUUAGGAAUUUAGGGAUUUUUGAUUUAGGACUUUCUAAUUAAUAUGUAAUUGAUUAUGGAAGAUUGAAACUUUUUGAUUAAUAUUUUUAAAAUUUCUUGUGAUAUUUUUUAGCACUUUUUUGAAAGUUUAAUUAUGACCUCAUAACCCAAUAUGUCUGUGUUCAUCCCUAGAUUUCAAGGCAGAAUUUUGAAAGCAAUACCAAAUCAUAUUUUCAGGAUCUACAUGGAAAGAAGAAUUGACUGAACUAAAAUUUCUUCACAGUCCCUAUGUUCAUAGUUGACUGUCCUCAACCUCAAAGCGUUGAGUCUCUCUGAUUCGAGAUACUUACUCAUGACUAUCAAUCACUUUCAUGCUGGAAGAAUAUACUAAUAUUCAGUAAUAUUGUAUCAUAUAUUUUGUUUUCAUUCUCUUUUGCAGUUUCUUGUUUUGUGGGCACAGAUUGAUGUUGAGAACUAAUAGAGUUUGAUCAAGUGAAUAUGCUAUUUUGCAUCUUUCUGUUUUGUGUUUUGCUAUUACCAUCUGCUGACGUCUUAACAUUUUGUGACUUCCAUGCCAAUUGUUAACCGACGACUUGGGUUGUUCAUGCACAAAUUGAUGAGUCUUGACUAUCAGUACCCAACAUUAUACAUAAAUCAAUGGAUUUUGAUUGUGUUCUUUAAUCGUUUCACAAUAUUUAAUUGAAAUCAAAGAAUUUUAAUCUUCAAUUGUCAUUCUUCACGCUUUUGUCUAUGUCUAUUAAUAUUAAAUUAAAGUCACGUUCCUGAAAUCCAAUUGCAAACGUUGUGUUUUCUCUUGAAUUUCCUUUUGUAAGGGACUAAGAAAGAAGGUUAAUUUUUCUUUUCCUUCUUCAUUCUCUUUCUAUUGAGCUUGAGAGAAUGGUGUGUAGACAUCAUGUUAGUUGAGUAAUGCUAUUUAGCACCAUUGGCAUUAUUGUGACAUUAAAUGAGAUGUACAAUUAAAUGAGUUGCUUAAUUUCACAUUUUAUUGAACCUAUCACAUAGCACAACUUACACUGGUGUUAUAGGAUCAGUAGUACGAGAUAACAUUAUUACAUAACUAUGUGCUAUGUUCAGUAGCUACCCUUUGAAAUCAAGGUUACUUCUGGUAAGAUAUAUGUCAAAUGAUCGCGUACACUUAAAAUAGAAACUUAGUUAAUAAAUAAAUUUGAAAAUAAAAAUGUAAAAGGAAGUAAAGGUUGAAAACAAUAUAAAAAUUUAAAUUUUAUCAUCCAAAAAUCUAAGUUAUUCAUUCUUGUUAUAUCCUUUUGUAAUAGACUUAGGAAUGAGAAAGUGUACACCAUAAUCAAAAUCAAGAGUGAUCAUGAGAGAGAGAUUGAACACUUUAACCUUAAGAACUUCUGUUUGAAGAAGGUAUCCAGCAAGAGUUCUCUUUACUAAUCACCACAAUAAAAUGAAGUAGUUAAGAUGAAAAGUAGGGUGCUUUAAUAAAUGGGUAGAGCCAUGCCUCAUGUUAAGGAUUUGGCAAUGCAUUUCUAAGAUGAAACCAUUAACACUGUUUGCCACAUAGUGAACUGAGUUUACUUUAAACCUAGAUUGAGAAGAUGCCAUAUGGAAUUUGGAAGGAUAGAAAGUCUACCAUCAAAUACUUUCCAGUGUUUGGCAACAAGUGUCACAUUUUGAGAGAUGGAGAGAACUUAGGAAUAUUCGACUCUAAAAGUAAUGAAGGAAUAUUUCUAGGGAACUCUAGGAUUAUUAAGGCUUAUCAUGUAUAAAAUUCUCGUACAUAAGUAGUGACAAAAUCCAUAAAUGUUGUUAUUGAUGAUGCCUUGAGUGAGAACGAGCCAUUAGGAAACUUGGAAGAAAUAUGUCAAUUUAAGUGUUGAUCCUGUCACUGAAUCUAUAGAACUCCAAGCCCAAAAAUGUAUAGAUAUUCCAACUAGGAACCAUCAUCUAGUGAUAAGCCUAAACUUCCUAAGGAACCUUCAUCUAGAGUUUAAGUCUAAUCAUCCUAAGGAUAAUAUCAUUGGGGAUUUAGAAGAAGUUAUAAGACUAUGUAGGAGAGUUUUGAAUAACUUGACGUUCAGUAGUUAUGUAUCCCAAAUUGAGCCCCAAAAAAUUGAAGAAGCCCUUAGCAAUGAAUGUUGGGUAAAUGCAAUGCAUGAGAAGCUAAUCAGUAGAAACAAUGUUUGGUAUUUGGUACACUGAUGAUCAAGGUAAACUAGAAAUAAAGUUAAGUUACUUGCUCGAGGAUACACAUAGGUAGAAGGUGUAGACUUUGAUGAGACAUUUGUCCCUAUAGCUUGUCUUAAAUCUAUUAGAAUCCUACUUGUUGUAGCUUGUACCCUAGGUUUCAAGCUAUAUCAAAUGUAUGUCAAAAGUGUUUUCUUGAAUAGAAUACUUCAAAAAGAGAUAUGUGUUAAACAACUAAAAGGUCUUGUUGAUCCUAAGUUUCUCCAUUAUAUCUAUAAGCUUAAAAAGAAAUGAUAGACUAAUUGCUUUAUCUCUUGGGAUGUGCUUAUCUCUUGGGGUGUGGUUCUUAAGAGAUAGUGUAGAUAGAAUGUUGUUCAUUAAACAAAUGGAAGAAAUCAUUACCAUAACAUAAAUUUAUGUUGAUGAAACCAUCUUUGAAUUUUCCAUCGACUCUCUUGUUCAUGAAUUCACUGAAUGCAUAAAACAAACAUUUGAUAUGAGUAUGGUAGGAGACUUGAGUUUCUUUCUUACAUUUCAGGUAAAGCAAAUAGAUGAGAGGUUAUUAAUUUCUUAAUCAAAUAUGCUGAUGACCUAGUAAAAGGAUUUAGGUUAGAUAGCAAGAAGAACACCAAAACACCCAUGAGCAUUAGUGUUAAGUUAGGUCAAGAUCCUAUUGAAAAAGUGUUAAUCAAACACUGUAUAGAAAUAUGUUAGGUAGUCUACUUUAACUUAAUUCUAAUCGACUUGACAUAGCAUUUAGUGUGGGAGUUCAUAUGAGAUUUUAGGCUAAACCUAAGAAGUCCCAUUAAGUGCCAUGAGACGUAUCAUUCAAUACGUUAAUGGCACUAUAGAUCAUGGAAUCUUGUACUCACGAUAUUCAAAUCUUGAUCUAGCCUGCUAUUUCGAUAUCAAUUGGGCUACGGAUGUUAAUGAUAGAAAAAGCACAACGAGAGGCUGUUUCAAUGUUGGAACAAAUCUAGUAGCUUGGAUUUGAAGGAAACAAAAUUUUAUUUCUUUGUCCAUGGCUGAAGUUAAAUAUUUAAGUACACAAAGUUGUUUUACUUAACUUCUUUAGAUGACGCAUAUGUUAAGAGAUUAUACAGUUGAGUAGGUUACUGUGACUGUGUUUUAUGAUAAACAAGUGCCAUAAAUAUUUUCAAAAAUCUUGUUCAUUCUUGAACCAAACAUAUAGAUACUCACAUCAUUUUAUUCGAGAGCUUGUGGAGAAUUGUGUUGUAAUAGUUGAGCAUGUCUCUACAGAAAACCAAUUAGGUGACUAGUUCACUAAAUUUUUAGAUGGUCUUCAGCUUGAAUUCCUCAGGAAAGCUAUUGGUGUCUGUGUACCUCUUUGAGUAGGUAAUUAGGCGUAUGUAUCUAUAUUUUUCAUGAAGUCUACAUAUCCAAGCAUGCACUCUAUCUUUUCUUUUUCUUUUUUCUUUUUUCCAUUUUUUUGUGUGCAUUAUUAUUAUUAUUAUUAUUUAAAAGUGACAAAUAUUAUUGAAAAUUGAAAAGAGUGUUUUUUAAGGCACUUUGUUUUGAUUUUUGUUUUACUUGAACAUGUUCAUUGUGAUCAAGCAUAAGUAAAAUUGAUGAAAAUGAUGAAAAUUUCCAUUAAUUUAUUAAGGACUUGUACGGAGUACUUAGCACAUGUUUCUUCAUGUACAAUCUACACUACUCACACAAAGUUUUUGUUCGCGAUUCUCGAUCGCUUCUAUGAGAUUUGUGAUAUUGAUCAUCGAUGUAGCAAGUUGACUUUGGAUAUGAAAUAAACUUUAACUAUUCGGCCUAAACUCUUGUAUACUCCCCAUAAAAAUGAGUAUUGUUAUUCAAAAUAGUUGAGUUAUUGUGAUAUAUCUUAUAUUUUUCUUCUUAGCCUUUGUGACUCGAACAAUUAAGUAUGUUGGAUAUUUUAAGAUCUGAUGUCCUAUAGUCAUCUGACUUAAAAGUCAUCAGUAUGAAGUUCAUUACAUGAGUCAUUAUCCUUAAUGAAGAUAAGUAUGUAAAUAAAAUUGAAAAAAGAAAAAAAUAAUGUACAAAUGAUCAUGCAUAAGGGAAGAAAGAAAAACUACAUAGUAUUAAUAUGAGAUCUUUUGUUUAAAAAGUCUUAGAGCACUUGAUUUGACUUUCAUAAUUUGAGAAAUAUAUUUUCAUUCACCAGUGAUUCUUUGCAGCCCUUUCUUCACUAAUAUAAGGUAUUGAAUCUUACUUACAGCAAGUUAGUGGCACUUUACACAGUUGGGUUCUUAUACAAUUUACUCCAUGUAGAUCUAAAAUAAAAUGCGUGGAAAGUAGUUUGCUGCCUAUUAAUUAUAUAUGUACAAGUAAACUAUGCAUGUUCAAGUUAUCACAUAAUCUUGAUUUGUGUGACAAGUUACUACAUUUAAAAAUUCAUGAGAAAGUGUUAUAAUUCAAAAAUUUUGAAAAGUAUAGUUUUGAAAUGAGUAAUGCUAUUCGUAGUCGCUUACUGCAGUAGUCACCCUACGUGGUAUAUACAUGACAUGUGAUUAUUUGAUAUAUUAAUGUGAUAGUUUUUUUAUUCAUUAAUGUAUCAAAUAAUCACUUGUCAUGUGUAUGUUACAUAGGGCGACUAUUGCAGUGAGCGACUGCAAAUAGCAUUAUUAUUUUGAAAUAGAUAAAAACGUGCUAUUUGUGUCACUUUUCUAGCUGCUAACUUAGCGUUGGGUUGUUGCUUGAGUGCCCAAAGCAGAGGCUUGGCGCUCAAUUAGUGCAUGCCUCUCGCCUGAGCGGCAGCUCGUGUUUUUGAAUUAAACGCGCAGACCCUCGCAUUUUCCUUUCCUUUCUUCCCUCAUCUCACAAAUUCAUCAUUCAACCCAUCAUACUAGUUCAUUAAGGUCGAUUUUCGUGAACAUUAGUAUCACAUUCAUCAACUCAUCAUCAAUUUCAUCCUAGUCAAGGUGAAAUAUCGAAAAUCCAUAAUUUUUGAAAAUUUUAGGGCUUUUUCAAAAUUGUGCCUUCUUGCUCGAAAUUCUUGAAAUUCAUGCAUAUUCAUUUAUGAGCUCAAGUACAGGAUGAUUGUAUAAGAGUUAUUGCACCACUUUGGAGAAAAAAUUUCAAAAAUUUUCCUUAGAACUUGAAUUCUAGAGUGCUUCAUGGAUUUGCAUAUAUUUUCUUCAAUUUUUUGUAAAAUUGAUGGAGAUUGGGAUAGGAUUAGAUGUUGGAGUUAUGGUAUGAGGUUUGAAUUGGUGAUUUUGCCCGGUUUCAUUAGGUUUGGCACUUCAUUCAUCCUUUUGACAUACCAUGUGUUCGAUAAAAUGUUCGUCUGAUGUUUCUGUGUAAGUUUUCACAUGUUUUUUUGUCAAAAUACAUCGAACACAUAAACAUAUUUGGGUCAUUUAUUUACACUUUUGGAUCUUUUGUAUCAAAAUUGAGGGGAAUGUGUCUACCUUGCAUGCAUGUAUCGGACCUCCCUACGUCACUUAGUUUCACCACUUAGUUACGUCAUCUAGUUAGGUUCCUAGGUUAACUUGCAUGUUUUUAUCUUGAUUUCAUUCGUGUCAGGUGCAUUGGGUACUUGUGUCUCGAUUUACGUGCUUUUACCUCGUUUACCUUAUUUUACUUUCAUAACAUACAUUCACAUAUUAUUCCACAUCACUAGUUAUCAUCUUCUUGGUAUACUUUUGUUGAAAAUCAUGACAUAGAUGCCCGUUGAAAAGCGAGGACUACAGGCUAGAACUCAGGUACUUCAACUUUGUACAAUCGUUUGAGGUUUAUUUCAUCCGAGGCCCAGGAGUGAGUCAUAGUUUUCCUCGUCUUCUCUAAGUUGAGCAUGAGGUAACUCUUUCUGACCUUUACCCUGACAUGGCUGCUAUAUUUAUUUCCCAUGGUAAGGAGCUAUUACUUCAUGAUCUCACAUCUCCUUCCCAUUUUCUAGUUAGGGAUUUUUAUUCGAAUAUUUAUGAGGUUGAUAGGUCUCACUUUAGAGUCUUUCUGAGAGACCAGGUUUGAAUAUAAGUGCUGCUGUCAUUUCUCGAAUUAUAUGGAUACCUUAGGUUACUUACUCAGUGUUUUCUUAUAUUAUUCCUUUGAAUGUUCUAUCGAGUUCUCUUUUCAUGUUGACCCUUUUUAAUAGUCCUACAAAUGGGGGUCAAGUCACAAUUAUUAUUGGGUCUCUUCCAACCGACUACUAGAUCUUGUUGCGCAUUAUGUGUCCAAAUCUUUGGUUGGUGUCCCUUAUAUCCUCAUUUCCUUAAGAUAAGGCCAGGUUUCUUUCUAUAUGCUCUUCUACAUGGUGAAUCGAUUGAACUGCCUUCUUUUGUCUAUCAUCACAUCUUGCGUAAAUUUCGCAUAACUAGUAGGAAGAUAGGUACGCCACACGCCUGUUUAAUACAACAUCUAGUGAUGGAGCUCGGGGGUUACUUUUUCUGAUAGGGUUUUAGAGCGUGUGUCUUGGCUUAUUGGUUAUAUCACUAUUUCCCAGAGUAGGUUCUGUAUUCUAUCUUCUUCAGUUCUUACUGAUCCUAUGAUUACCUACUUUCUUUACCCACUCUGCCUUAUGUUUCUGCUCAUAACAUUCCACCUACUUUUAUUCCAGAUAUUCCAUCCACUUCUACAUUUGCUCCCAUUCCUCUAUCUACAUCUGAUCCCAUCGACCAUUCGAUAGCUAUUAUGAGCCAGUUUUCAUUGAUCAUCGAGCACCAGUCUCUAUUUCUGGGUGAUAUGACUUUGCUACGGUCGUAGUCUGAGCGACGUACAAUAGAUUUUGCUUCACUUCAGACUAAUGUUCACUCAUUUCAAACAGGUGUUUGUUCACUUCAGAGACGUGUCUAGUGGAUGUAAUAACAUUGAGACGGUGGAGAUGAUACAGAGGAGGACACUGAUUAGUUGGUAGGUACCCCUUUGUCAUUGUCACAAAAAGGAUGAGUAGUGUUUAGGCUUAGAGUUUUAGGGCAUUGUGUAUUGAUUUGAAGUUUUGGGAUAUGUUCAGAUAUUUUGUGUAGCUUUUUAAAGUUUUGAUGUUUUAAUGUAAACUUUUGUGGUUUGUUAGACAUUAAUAUUGUAUCUUAAUCUAGUUAGCAUGAUAUUUGUUUUUAUCUAUCUCAAUUGUUGUAUGCUAUUUCGUUAACUGUUUUUACAUACUUUUACACUUGGUAUUUGAGUUAUUGAUUUAAAUAAACAGGUGUGACAAGGAAAGCAAGUUUCAGUUGAGUCAUUAAAUCUUGGGUAGUUAGAAGUUGUUCUUUUUCAUAAUUUGUAUUUGUAAUAUUUAGUUUUGUCACAAAUGUA